AACUAAGUUUGUUCUUGGUAUAAGCUUUCGUGUGCAUGCCCACUUCUUCAGAUAUACUGAAACACUGAAGAAGUGUGCAUGCACACGAAAGCUUAUACCAAGAACAAACUUAGUUGG